rnacentral:ncRNA from 1 species
ACCAUCACAUAGGGGAGCUUUUCGCUGAGAAUGAGGUCACUCUAAACCCUUGAACCUGUUGCGUUAGUACGUGCGUAGGAAGUUGUGAUGGAGUAGAUA